AUAAAAUUAGGAAGUUACCAGAGGAGGGCAUAAAACCUACGAUUUUCACCAUUACAAUUUCAAAGAGGGAGUAACGACGACUUAAGACUUGAAUCAUUCAGAAGCUUUAUGGAAAGGCAAGACCUUUGCAAAUUAGCUUGCAUUUGGAUUCUUUGGUUGAGAAAGUGUUCUAGGCUCAGACAUGACCUCACCUCUAGAGUUUGAUAGCAGAUCUUGAUCCAAGGGUGAGCACUCGGUCUCCAGGCUGUCAUGGGCCAUCUUAUUUGUUCUUGUCCAUCUUUCGGGCAAUGAAACAUUCUUUAUUUACUUUAUUUUUGGAUAUCACUUUAGAUAUGAUCUUUGUUAGUAGUUCUUGUACGAUGAC